rnacentral:rRNA from 1 species
UACGUAGGGGGCAAGCGUUGUCCGGAUUUAUUGGGCGUAAAGAGCGUGUAGGCGGCCAAACAGGUCAGCUGUGAAAACUCGAGGCUCAACCUCGAGACGUCGGUUGAAACCGUUUGGCUAGAGUCCGGAAGAGGAGAGUGGAAUUCCCGGUGUAGCGGUGAAAUGCGCAGAUAUCGGGAAGAACACCCGUGGCGAAGGCGGCUCUCUGGGACAGUACUGACGCUGAGACGCGAAAGCGUGGGGAGCGAACAGG